GACGUAGGGGACGAGCGUUGUCCGGAUUCAUUGGGCGUAAAGCGUGCGCAGGCGGUUCUCCAAGUCCGUUGUGAAAGCCCCGGGCUCAACCUGGGAAUGGCAGUGGAAACUAGGGGACUUGAAUCUGGCAGAGGGGGGUGGAAUUCCACGUGUAGCAGUGAAAUGCGUAGAGAUGUGGAGGAACACCGAUGGCGAAGGCAGCCCCCUGGGCUGAGAUUGACGCUCAGGCACGAAAGCGUGGGGAGCAAACAGG
rnacentral:rRNA from 1 species